rfam:Oryza sativa Japonica Group DNA, chromosome 6, cultivar: Nipponbare, complete sequence.
AAAAAGACAAACCCUGAUUUUCGUGUUCAACGUUUGACCGUCCGUCUUAUUUAAAAAAAAUAUGAAAAAAAUUAAAAAGAUAAGUCACGCAUAAAGUAUUAAUCAUGUUUUAUCAUCUAACAACAAUGAAAAUACUAAUUUUAAAAAAAUUUCAUAUAAGACGGACAGUCAAACGUUGGCACGGGAACCCACGGUUUGUCUUUUU